UAUGGAAGGGGCUAGCGCUGUGCGGCAUUACUGGGCGUAAAGAGCGCGUAGGCGGCUUACCAAGUUGGGGGUGAAAUCCCGGAGCUCAACUCCGGAACUGCCUUCAAAACUGGUAGGCUCGAGUCCGGAAGAGGGGCGUGGAAUUCCCAGUGUAGAGGUGAAAUUCGUAGAUAUUGGGAAGAACACCGGUGGCGAAGGCGGCGCCCUGGUCCGGUACUGACGCUGAGGCGCGAAAGCGUGGGGAGCAAACAGG
rnacentral:rRNA from 1 species